rnacentral:lncRNA from 1 species
GAAUAACCAAGAUAGACACACUUGAGAGCACGAGGGGCUAACUUAUCUUUCCUAGGGGCUAAGUUAUGAAUAAAAUAAGUGCUCCCAAAAACACGAGGGGAAACAGAGUGUAAGGGUGAUUGGGGAAACAAUAUGGCAUACGGUAUCUGAUUCUGCAUGGGAGAGGAAGGCAUCCGAUUAACUACAUAACAAGCUGUGAGAACUGCAUCACCCCAAAAACGCAGCGGAGAAUGAGACUCAAUGAGAAGUGUCCGAGCAGUCUCGAUGAUGUGCAUAUUCUUUCUCUCGGCAACCUUAUUUUGUUGAGGGGUAUAAGGACAAGAGGUAUGAUGAAUAAUUCCUUGAGAAGUCAUAAACUGCUGAAAUGAUAAGGAUAAAUAUUCUAAGGCAUUAUCACUGCGAAAAGUACGAAUAGAAACACCGAAUUAAUUUUUAAUUUCAGCACAAAAAUUCUGAAAAAUAGAAAAUAACUCAGAACGAUCUUUCAAUAAGAAAAUUCAAGUACAUCUUGAAUGAUCAUCAAUGAAACUAACAAAAUAACGAAACCCCAAGGUUGAACUGACUCUACAAGGACCCCAUAUAUCAGAAUGAACCAAAGAAAAAACAGACUCUGCAUGACUCUCAAUACUUCGAGGAAAGAAGGCUCUGGUAUGUUUCCGGAGCUGACAUGACUCACACUCUAAUGUGGAUAAACUAGAUAAACUAGGUACCAUCUUCUGAAGCUUGGAUAAGCUUGGGUGUCCUAAACGUCUGUGAAUUAGGUCUGGAGGAUCUGUAACUAGACAUGCCUUGGAGGAUUUUAGGAAUUUAAGGUAGUAAAGGCCUUCUGAUUCAGGUCAUGUUCCAAUCGUCCUUCUGAAGCUUGGAUAAGCUUGGGUGUCCUAAACGUCUGUGAAUUAGGUCCAGAGGAUCCGUAACUAGACAUGCCUUGGGGAUUUUAGCGAGUUAAGGUAGUAAAAGCCUUCUGAUUCAAGUUCUGUUCCAAUCGUCUGCCCAUACUGCGGUCUUGCAUAAUAAAGGAAUCAUCACUAAAAUAUAUACCAUAACGGAGGGCACGAGUCAAACGACUAACAGAUGCAAGAUUAAAAGGACAGUCAGGGACAUAGAGAAC